GAGGAAUAUUGGUCAAUGGGCGAGAGCCUGAACCAGCCAAGUAGCGUGCAGGAAGACGGCCCUAUGGGUUGUAAACUGCUUUUAUGUGGGGAUAAAGUGAGCUACGUGUAGUUUAUUGCAGGUACCACAUGAAUAAGGACCGGCUAAUUCCGUGCCAGCAGCCGCGGUAAUACGGAAGGUCCAGGCGUUAUCCGGAUUUAUUGGGUUUAAAGGGAGCGUAGGCCGUGGAUUAAGCGUGUUGUGAAAUGUAGACGCUCAACGUCUGAAUUGCAGCGCGAACUGGUUCACUUGAGUAUGCACAACGUAGGCGGAAUUCGUCGUGUAGCGGUGAAAUGCUUAGAUAUGACGAAGAACUCCGAUUGCGAAGGCAGCUUACGGGAGCACAACUGACGCUGAAGCUCGAAGGUGCGGGUAUCAAACAGGAUUAGAUACCCUGGUAGUCCGCACAGUAAACUAUGGAUGCCCGUUGUUAGUUCACUUAAGAAUUAGCGACCAAGCGAAAGCAUUAAGCAUCCCACCUGGGGAGUACGCCGGCAACGGUG
rnacentral:rRNA from 1 species